rnacentral:rRNA from 1 species
AUUGAACGCUGGCGGCAUGCCUUACACAUGCAAGUCGAACGGCAGCACGGGUGAUUGCACCUGGUGGCGAGUGGCGAACGGGUGAGUAAUACAUCGGAACAUGUCCUGUAGUGGGGGAUAGCCCGGCGAAAGCCGGAUUAAUACCGCAUACGAUCUACGGAUGAAAGCGGGGGACCUUCGGGCCUCGCGCUAUAGGGUUGGCCGAUGGCUGAUUAGCUAGUUGGUGGGGUAAAGGCCUACCAAGGCGACGAUCAGUAGCUGGUCUGAGAGGACGACCAGCCACACUGGAACUGAGACACGGCCCAGACUCCUACGGGAGGCAGCAGUGGGGAAUUUUGGACAAUGGGCGAAAGCCUGAUCCAGCAAUGCCGCGUGUGUGAAGAAGGCCUUCGGGUUGUAAAGCACUUUUGUCCGGAAAGAAAUCCUUGGCCCUAAUACGGUCGGGGGAUGACGGUACCGGAAGAAUAAGCACCGGCUAACUACGUG